rnacentral:rRNA from 1 species
AACGAACGCUGGCGGCGUGCCUAACACAUGCAAGUCGCACGAGAAAGUCCUUCGGGAUGAGUAGAGUGGCGCACGGGUGAGUAAUCCAUGGGAACGUGCCUUUCAGAGGGGGAUAACUACGGGAAACUGUAGCUAAUACCGCAUAGAGACGAAAGUUUAAAGGUGGCCUCUAUUUAUAAGCUACUACUGAAAGAUCGGCCCAUGUCCCAUUAGCUAGUUGGCGGGGUAAAAGCCCACCAAGGCGACGAUGGGUAGCUGGUCUGAGAGGACGAUCAGCCACACUGGAACUGAGACACGGUCCAGACUCCUACGGGAGGCAGCGGUGGGGAAUUUUGCACAAUGGGGGAAACCCUGAUGCAGCAACGCCGCGUGAGUGAAGAAGGCCCUUGGGUUGUAAAGCUCUUUCGGUUGGGAAGAAGGGUGAUAUGGCUAAUAUCCAUGUCAUUUGACGGUACCAAAAGAAGAAGCACCUGCUAACUUCGUGCCAGCCGCCGCUGUAACAC